rnacentral:rRNA from 1 species
CACACCGCCCGUCACAUCACGAAAGUGGGUCGUACUAGAAAGUCGGUGGGCUAACCGCAAGGAGGCAGUCCGCCCAAGGUAUGAUUCAUGAUUGGGGUGAAGUCGUAAACAAGGUACC